GAUGAACGCUAGCGGCAGGCCUAACACAUGCAAGUCGAGGGAUAAGCCCUUCGGGGUGGAAACCGGCGCACGGGUGCGUAACGCGUAUGCAACCUACCUUUCACAGGGGGAUAGCCCGAAGAAAUUUGGAUUAAUACCCCAUAAUAUUGUUGGAUGGCAUCAUCUGAUAAUUAAAGUUACGAUGGUGAAAGAUGGGCAUGCGUCCUAUUAGCUAGUUGGAGUGGUAACGGCACCCCAAGGCUACGAUAGGUAGGGGUCCUGAGAGGGAGAUCCCCCACACUGGUACUGAGACAGGGACCAGACUCCUACGGGAGGCAGCAGUGAGGAAUAUUGGUCAAUGGUCGAAAGACUGAACCAGCCAUGCCGCGUGCAGGACAGACGGCCCUAGAGGUUGUAAACUGCUUUUAUAUGGGAAGAAUAAGGA
rnacentral:rRNA from 1 species